rnacentral:rRNA from 1 species
AGAACGAACGCUGGCGGCAUGCCUAACACAUGCAAGUCGAACGGACUCUUCGGAGUUAGUGGCGGACGGGUGAGUAACACGUGGGAACGUGCCUUUUGGUUCGGAAUAGCUCCUGGAAACGGGUGGUAAUGCCGAAUGUGCCCUUCGGGGGAAAGAUUUAUCGCCAUUAGAGCGGCCCGCGUCUGAUUAGCUAGUUGGUGAGGUAAAGGCUCACCAAGGCGACGAUCAGUAGCUGGUCUGAGAGGAUGACCAGCCACAUUGGGACUGAGACACGGCCCAAACUCCUACGGGAGGCAGCAGUGGGGAAUCUUGCGCAAUGGGCGAAAGCCUGACGCAGCCAUGCCGCGUGAAUGAUGAAGGUCUUAGGAUUGUAAAAUUCUUUCACCGGGACGAUAAUGACGGUACCGGAGAAGAAGCCCCGCUAACUUCGUGCCAGCAGCCGC